rnacentral:rRNA from 1 species
AUUGAACGCUGGCGGAAUGCCUUACACAUGCAAGUCGAACGGUAACGCGGGGCAACCUGGCGACGAGUGGCGAACGGGUGAGUAAUACAUCGGAACGUGCCCAGUAGUGGGGGAUAGCCCGGCGAAAGCCGGAUUAAUACCGCAUACGACCUACGGGUGAAAGGGGGGGACCGCAAGACCUCUCGCUAUUGGAGCGGCCGAUGUCAGAUUAGGUAGUUGGUGGGGUAAAAGCCUACCAAGCCGACGAUCUGUAGCUGGUCUGAGAGGACGACCAGCCACACUGGGACUGAGACACGGCCCAGACUCCUACGGGAGGCAGCAGUGGGGGAAUUUUGGACAAUGGGCGCAAGCCUGAUCCAGCCAUGCCGCGUGCGGGAAGAAGGCCUCGGUUGUAACCG